rnacentral:rRNA from 1 species
ACGGAGGGUGCAAGCGUUAUCCGGAUUUACUGGGUUUAAAGGGUGCGUAGGUGGGUAGGUAAGUCAGUGGUGAAAUCUUCGAGCUUAACUCGGAAACUGCCAUUGAUACUAUUUAUCUUGAAUACUCUGGAGGUAAGCGGAAUAUGUCAUGUAGCGGUGAAAUGCUUAGAUAUGACAUAGAACACCAAUUGCGAAGGCAGCUUACUACAUAGUUAUUGACACUGAGGCACGAAAGCGUGGGGAUCAAACAGGA